rnacentral:lncRNA from 11 species
UUUUUCUUCAGCCAUUAAUUUAUUUACAUUAUAUUAUUUGUAUUUUUCUUGAACCAUUAAUUUUUUACAUCAUAAAGUAUAAAGAUGGCAAAGUUAUUAAUGAGAUAGAACAGCGAAGCUAGGAAUGACUGCAUCAGUUUGCUUUUGCCAGAACCUACAGAGAAGAGAAGGUUUCACCCCCUCUGCUCCCCUUCUCCCUGUUUAGUUAACUGAGUGUCAAAACUACUUUUGUACUUUGAACUCAGUUUGCAUCAAUUGAAAUAAGCUGAGGACAAAGGGGAAUGUGGGAGGAAGAAUGAGAAAUUGAGAUAAAAGCAUUUUAAAAAGUGGCAUGACAGAGGACUAGUUGGAGUGUCCCAGAGAAAUUGGAUAGUUUUUUUUUCUGUGUCAGGAGUGGCUUGAAAAACUGCAAGUCGCUUUUGAUGUGAGAGAAUUAUCUGCCUGCAAGGACGUUGCCUAGGGGACGCCCGGAUGUAUUUAAUGUUUUUACCAUCCUUGUGGGAGGCUUCUCUCAUGUCCCCGCAUGGAGCUGGAGCUGAUAGAGGGAGCUCAUCCGCGCUCUCCCUGGGUAGGAUUCGAACCGGCAACCUUCAGAGAGCUUUGGGUGAAGGCUACCACCUUAAAAACAAAAGGAACUCCCCCUGUGUCUACACUCCUCCUUCUCUUAAAGGUAAGAUACCUUUCAAAUUGGUUUCCAGUUUUUAGGUAUUACAGUAAUGCAGGUUUAU